rnacentral:rRNA from 1 species
UCUUCCACAAUGGACGAAAGUCGGAUGGAGCAAUGCCGCGUGAGUGUAGAAGGGUUUCGGCUCGUAAAACUCUGUUGUUAGAGAAGAACGGGCGUGAGAGUAACUGCUCACGUCGCGACGGUAUCUAACCAGAAAGCCACGGCUAACUACGUGCCAGCAGCCGCGGUAAUACGUAGGUGGCAAGCGUUGUCCGGAUUUAUUGGGCGUAAAGCGAGUGCAGGCGGUCUUCUAAGACUGAUGUGAAAGCCUUCGGCUUAACCGGAGAGGUGCAUCGGAAACUGGGAAACUUGAGUGCAGAAGAGGACAGUGGAACUCCAUGUGUAGCGGUGAAAUGCGUAAAUAUAUGGAGGAACACCAGUGGCGAAGGCGGCUGUCUAGUCUGUAACUGACGCUGAGGCUCGAAAGCAUGGGUAGCAAACAG